rnacentral:lncRNA from 1 species
GCUGUGGUGAUGACACUCAGACGAGCUUUGAAGUUAAGAAAACUCUUAUCGACUUAACUGCAUUUACAGUUAUACUGUAGUGAACCGCCUUAGUCUCUUAAGUCUAUUAGUCUGUCUGUGCACUCUCUGCUGUCGCUAUUUUGGCUUAGUUUUGUCUGGUGUGAAAAAUCACAACACUUUCAUCCAAGACCUUCACAACAACAUCACCCUGAGUUUAAUUCAGAUGAUCAUGAAGUCAUCAGUGCCCGUCAUGGCCCUGAUCGCACUAGUGGUGUCCAGGGUGCAGGCAUUUAUUUCAGUUGGGGGUAGCGGAAACACCCAUGUGACCAUUACUGACCAUGCUGUAAUGGCGAAGAUCAAUGAGGUGUGUGAAGCAGUGGCUGAAUCAGAAGGAAAAGAUUUCAAACCCACGGGCCCAUCAGCAGAAGAGCUGCUGCGUGCAUGUCUGGGCAGAGCCACAGGUGAGGUAUCGGGGGCCAAGUUCCGCACAGCACUGAAUCAGAUCUACAAGCAGAAUGGCUUUGUGGACCAGGACUUCAUGAGCAGCGCACCACACCACUUCAAUAAUGAGGCCUUCAAUGAGGGACGCAACCUUAUCAUUCAGGGGACUGCGGCCAUUAAAGCGAACAUCCGCACCGACAACUUUCAGUCUGCCCGAGAAACACUGGGACGAGUGUGUCACACACUACAGGUUAGCAAGAGGGUGAUAAAUCAGUAUCAGUGACAUUGCACAAGCAUAUUGCC